rnacentral:rRNA from 1 species
CCUACGGGCGGCAGCAGUGGGGAAUAUUGGACAAUGGGGGAAACCCUGAUCCAGCGACGCCGCGUGAGUGAAGAAGUAUUUCGGUACGUAAAGCUCUAUCAGCAGGAAAGAAAAUGACGGUACCUGACUAAGAAGCCCCGGCUAACUACGUGCCAGCAGCCGCGGUCAUACGUAGGGGGCAAGCGUUAUCCGGAUUUACUGGGUGUAAAGGGAGCGUAGACGGCAGCGCAAGUCUGGAGUGAAAUGCCUGGGCCGAACCCUGGAACUGCUCUUGAUACUGUGAAGCUGGAGUGCAGGAGAGGUAAGCGGAAUUCCUGGGGGAGCGGUGAAAUGCGUAGAUAUCAGGAGGAACACCGGCGGCGAAGGCGGCUUACUGGACUGUAACUGACGUUGAGGCUCGAAGGCGUGGGGAUCAAACAGGAUUAGAUACCCCAGUAGUC